AGAGUUUGAUUCUGGCUCAGAAUGAACGCUGGCGGCGUGCCUAACACAUGCAAGUCGCACGAGAAAGGCUGGGUUUCGGCUUGGCCGAGUAAAGUGGCGCACGGGUGAGUAACGCGUGGGUGACCUACCCUCGAAUCUGGGAUAACCUCGCGAAAGCGGGGCUAAUACUGGAUACGUCCCUUUGGGGAGAAAGCCGGCCUCUCGCAGAAGCUGGUGUUCGGGGAUGGGCCCGCGUCCUAUCAGCUAGUUGGUAGGGUAACGGCCUACCAAGGCGACGACGGGUAGCUGGUCUGAGAGGAUGAUCAGCCACACUGGCACUGGAACACGGGCCAGACUCCUACGGGAGGCAGCAGUGAGGAAUUUUGCGCAAUGGGAGCAAUCCUGACGCAGCAACGCCGCGUGGGUGAAGAAGGCCUUCGGGUCGUAAAGCCCUGUCAGGAGGGAAGAACCUCGUUUGGGCGAACAGCCUGGACGACUGACGGUACCUCCAGAGGAAGCACCGGCUAACUCCGUGCCAGCAGCCGCGGUAAUACGGAGGGUGCGAGCGUUAUUCGGAAUUACUGGGCGUAAAGCGCGUGUAGGCGGCAGGGCAAGUCUGGUGUGAAAGCCCGGGGCUCAACCCCGGAAGUGCAUUGGAAACUGCUCUGCUUGAGUACCGGAGAGGAAGGGGGAAUUCCCGGUGUAGCGGUGAAAUGCGUAGAUAUCGGGAGGAAUACCAGUGGCGAAGGCGCCCUUCUGGACGGUUACUGACGCUGA
rnacentral:rRNA from 1 species